rnacentral:rRNA from 1 species
CCUACGGGAGGCAGCAGUGGGGAAUCUUAGACAAUGGGGGCAACCCUGAUCUAGCCAUGCCGCGUGAGUGAUGAAGGCCCUAGGGUUGUAGGGCUCUUUCAGCUGGGAAGAUAAUGACGGUACCAGCAGAAGAAGCCCCGGCUAACUCCGUGCCAGCAGCCGCGGUAAU